rnacentral:rRNA from 1 species
UACGGGGGGGGUAAGCGUUGUUCGGAAUUACUGGGCGUAAAGGGCUCGUAGGCGGCCAACUAAGUCAUACGUGAAAUCCCUCAGCUUAACUGGGGAACUGCGUGUGAUACUGGAUGGCUUGGAUUUGGGAGAGGGAUGCGGAAUUCCCAGUGUAGCGGUGAAAUGCGUAGAUAUUGGGAGGAACACCAGUGGCGAAGGCGGCUCACUGGACUGGUACUGACGCUGAGGCGCGAAAGCGUGGGGAGCAAACGGG